rnacentral:lncRNA from 1 species
GCAUUACAUCAUCAUAGAAAGGAGGUGUUGAUUCAUAUUUGAUUGCUAAAUAGAACAGUUUGUCAUAAGAAAACGAAUUUCUUGAUAAAGUGGAUUAUAACACGGUUGUCUAAAUAUGGUCCAAGUAAACACAAUGAAAGAAGGCUGAUAGCCCAUGAAGAAAUACACGAAUUUGCUUCAUCGCUCGAGGAUUCAAGCCGACAAAGAUUAUUCGAGAGCCGUCACGUCUUAACUUUCUUAAAGGAGCUGACAAGUAUCGCGGGGAUAAGUGAGCAACGAGUUGCAGCCUGGAUCAAGCAAAAAAAUGGUUUCGACAGAUGUUAUAUUUUUAGAUAAGUCAUUUUGGGAUGAUUGGUAAUCAAUUACUUUAUGCCUCUACAUGGCCCUCAUAUAAUCUUAGCGAAGUUGUCUAUCCUGAGUUUUGCUAGCCUGAAGUUUGGAGAAGAACCCAAAAUUCGCGAUAUUUUUAGCUUCAUUGAGAAACAUAUGUCAGGUUCUCUAUAAAUACGUUGCUAAGUUCGCGAGAUCCACUAUAUAAGAAAGGGUAAACUACAAAAAUAGUCACUUUUGUCUGCC